rnacentral:hammerhead_ribozyme from 1 species
AUUCAACUGAUGAGUCCCAAAUAGAACAAAAUGCACAUCAUGAAG